GAUGCUACCUGGUUGAUCCUGCCAGAACCCAUAUGCU
rnacentral:rRNA from 1 species